GUCAACAUCCAUAGCAUGAAAAACUCAGCUUCAGCCAAUCUCUCCAUGUUGUUCUUCUUGAGUAUUGUUGAGUAUUGGUUUGCUUUCCCAAUCGACACUGAGAGAUUACUUGAGACAACAGCAAUUCUAGGACGCCCUUAAUAUGCAGCCGCUGUGCAUUAAGAGCUGACGACUGAAGGUGACCUAUUGGAAGUCUUGUAAGAUUUGCCUUUAUUCCCUCCCCCUCAGUUUUCCUUUUUAUUAAAGGUCAAGCGCGCCUGGCCACAGAUUAUCCAGCUAUCUAAGACCUCCCUGCAAUCUGUCAUGCCGGCAAGAUAUGUAUCACAAAUCUCUCGAAAUAUAAUCUUUUGGAAUCAUAUUCUGAAUACUGUUUUGAUUAAAAAUCAGAGCUCGGACUGAUGCGAAACUAAUAGGAAAAGGACUAAGAGUGCGGCGAGGGGAGGCCCUCGGAUGCAAUAAUGAAAAUAAACUAAUGGGCUCAGCCAGAUUGGUCUCUUUAAGAGAGAAAGAAUCCCGGUCAUUAAAAUGCAAUGAUUGAAAUGUGUCAGGAUGGAAAGUUCAUUCUUAAAUAUCAGGUUUUGAUGCCGAAAAAGAGCAUAGGUUCUUUCUUCUUCCAACCUGCUAUCUCCACUGAUGGGGCUUGUUUACUCCAGAAACAAUGAGUCCUGAAACAAAAGGAACUUUUAGGGGAUGAUCCUGCUAGGCUGUAUGGCCAUGUUCCAGAAGCAUUCUCUCCUGACGUUUCACCCACAUCUAUGGCAGGCAUCCUCAGAGGUUGUGAGGUAUGGAAAAACUAGGCAAGGAAGGUUUAUAUAUAUGUGCAAGGUCCAGGGUGGGGGAAAAAACUCUUGUCUGUUGGAGGCCAGUGAGAAUGUUGUAAUUAAUCACAUUGAUUGGCAUUAAAGGGCCUUGCAAGCUUCAUGUCCUGUCCUGGGGGAAUCCUUUGUUCAGAGUCGUUAUCUGCCCCUGAUUGAUUCAUGUCUGGAAUUCCUCUGUUUUCAGAGUGUUGUUCCUUAUUUACUGUUCUAAUUUUAGAGGUUUUUUUAAAUACUAGUAGCCAGAUUGUGUUCAUUUUCAUGGUUUCCUCCUUUCUGUUGAAAGUGUCCAUCUGCUUGUGGAUUUCAAUGGCUUCUCUGUGCAGUCUGACAUGAUAGUUGUUAGAGUGGUCCAGCAAUUCUACGUUCUUAAAUAAUAUGCGGUGUCCAGGUUGGUUCAUCAGGCGCCUUCGACAACACACAGAAUUUAUACAUAUUUGUGCAUCACCAAACCAGCAGCUGAAAUGCUUCACAUUGAAAGAAGUACAGUAGUGUCUCGCUUAUCCAACGUAAACGGGCCAGCAGAACGUUGGAUGAGCGAAUAUGUUGGAUAAUAAGGAGAGAUUAAGGAAAAGCCUAUUAAACAUCAAAUUAGGUUAUGAUUUUACAAAUUAAGUACCAAAACAUCAUGUCAUACAACAAAUUUGACAGAAA
rnacentral:lncRNA from 1 species